CUGCAUGGACUUGGUGUGUAAACUUGGCGGGGAAGGCAUAGGCUCCGAGGGCAUGCAGAGCUACAGGGAGGGCCAACAGUGGGCCCAGGGGAAGAGGUGGUGGUGAUCUGUGGGAUCCGGCCAGGCUCACUUAGCAGGUCAUGGCCCAUGAAUCACUCCAGCUAAGACCUCCAAGUACAUGUCCAGAGUAGGAGCAAGUAAGGCCUGGGGCUAAGGCCACGUGUUAGGUCAAAUCCUGAAGCCAGCUGUGUGAAGGCAGGCAGGUAAGGCCCGUGGUCCUCAUUUGUGCUGCUGGGGCAAGAAGCCCUGAGGGCCUGGGGCAAGUGGGUUUGCACUGCAGGGGCAGCCCAAGAGGACAGGGUCAUGUGUGUGUUCCACAGCGCAGGGCUCUACUCCAGGACAGUAUAGGCAGAAGGUGCCUACGGUCACGUGUGAAGCCACGGGAUAUGGGGAAAGUGAACAAACAGAUGCCUAAGGAGGCGAGUGAGGAUUCUGAGAGGAGCCAAGUGCCAGCAGGGUUCCAGCAGGGAGAAACAGAGUGGCAUGUGCACCAGGAGCCCCAUGCACCACAGCAGGCAGUGAAGUGUGGACUAUUCAGGCCAACAGGGUAAAGGAGGUUGAGGAGUCAAAGCCUAAACUCAGGUGCCACAGCAAGCGGAAUGAGCCCAGGCACUUACUGCUAUGAGGAGCCCAGGGCAGGGCUUUGUGGACAAAGAGAUCACAAAGGACCAGCUGGAUUCUGGCAAGGGCUUUAGCAGAGUCGUCAAGUAUGGAUUAUUUAGGUAAAGUACUGAAGCUGGGGAGAAUAGUUAGGGGCAAUAUAAGAAGAGCCCUGGUCGGGGAGGCACGGGGUCCCAUGUAAUGCACAGCUUGGGAAAGGGACCCUACCGGCAUGGGAACCAGGGACAGGGGCAGCAAGGCCAAGGGGCACCGGGGCAGGGACCAUUGGGAGUGUCACUCGGCAUAGAUUACAAGGCCAAGACUCAGUGCUGGGGGAGUAUUGUCCAGGGCUAAUAGGCAGGCCACUGGGUAAGGCCUGGGAUGGGGACAAAGUGGGACACCGGAUGCCACAACCUAUUGAGGUAAGGGGUGGGCUCCACGGACCUGAGAUACUGGUGUGUAAACACUAGCGUGGGGCUGCAAGGACAUGGGCCCCCAAGGCGAGACAAGGGCGGCACGGGUCUUAGGGCAGACCAUUCAGCGUGGAACUCUCAGGCCCACACGCGGCACUGGGUGAGGAAGGGUGAAGCUCCAUCAGGCCAGGGUGCAGGGCCAAGGGCCAAAGCCUGGGGUGAACAAUGAGGUGAGCAUGGCGAGGGCUCCAGGGCUUGGAGCACUCAGGGCUUGGGGCAUGGGAAAGUGGGGUGCUGGGAACAGGACACUGCGGACAGAGAUGCUCUGGGGCAGGGGCACCUGACAGGGGAUUUGGCUAGGUGGUGACCUCACUCCACUCCGCCACUUCUUGUAAUUCGCUGAGUGAAGCCAGCAGCGCGGUGACCCCUGCUGAGUUUUCCACUUGUGAGGCCAAGGCAUCAAGCCCCUUUUC
rnacentral:lncRNA from 1 species